CAUUGAUCUUCAAAAUGAGUACGAUACUUCUGAGUAACUUUGUGAAGGUUUUUUUAUGCUGGAAUGUAUUUUACCUACACGUUUACGCACAGGUUCAUCCAGAGGUCGGACUCACAGCACAGGAGCAGAUGUACUUACUGUAUGAUGUCAAAGUCGAGUGCCAUCAGAACAUCUCCACACACAACCCUGCAGGCACUCUUGAAGAACGGAGGGAGGAACUUCUUGAAAAGCCUUUAUUUGCUUGGACUACCACUGCAGUUUGAUUAGAGGAAGACGAC